CGCCUCCCUGCCUUGAUCCCGCCUCCCCCGCAUGUCCGUGACGUCAUCGCGAGGCGCCGCUCUCUCAGCCAUGGCCGCCGCGGCAGCAGGCUCCUGCUCCCCGCGCCCGCAGGGAUCCGGGAAGCCGCCGGCAGGAGGGACGUGGAUUCGAGGCACCUAGCGGCGUAAUUAGCGCAGUUGUGGUUAAUUACGGCCACCAAGGCCUCGGCUCCCAGGGCUGGAAUUCCUCGGGGAUGCCGUGACCGAGACGUGCGGCUCCGUCCCGGCAGGGUUCCGUGUCCGCACCCUGCCCAGGCUCCCUCCGAGGUGCUCCAGACGGAUCUGGGAAGCCCCCAGGAAGGAGGAAGCUGUGCGAGGCUGCUGUAAUUAGCGCCGCUCAGUUAACGAGCAGCAGGAGCUGCGUGCUGUGCUGGGUGUCACCCGCCGGGCCCCGGGCACACUCCCUGAGGAAGAGCCAGGAGAGUCGGUGGCACAGUCAGGGAAUUAAACACAACCCUGCUUUUGCCGUGGUCGGCCCCAGAG